AGGAAAUGCUCAACAACUCUCGAGUCGUUGACAGCGGUGUGAAGAUGGAAGUCAACGAGAGGAUCCUGGCCGCAUGCACAGAGCUGAUGACGGCCAUCAAGCAGCUGGUGCUGUCCUCCAAGAACCUGCAGAAGGACAUCGUGGAGAGCGGCAGAGGGGCAGCAUCCAUGAAGGAAUUCUAUGCCAAGAACUCCCGCUGGACCGAAGGCCUGAUCUCUGCCUCCAAAGCCGUGGGCUGGGGCGCCACGGUCAUGGUGUAAGGGAUGGUCACCUCCUGGGGUCAGAGUGUCAGAGGUCAGAGGGUCAGAGGUCAGAGGUUAGAGGGUCAG